AGUAAUCAAAAUACAGAGUUUAAUAGUAGAAUAGUUUUAAUGGUCCUGGAGGAUGUAGUCCCCAUCCUAAUUUAACAGGGUGGAAAAAAUUAUGUAAGUAAUAAUAGAAUAUUUCCCUAAGCACGCUUAUGUUUAGGACUCUCUUCUUAGGGUCCUGUCCCCUUCUCCUGUAUGUACCCCACAAGCUAUUAGCAGGAGAUAUCGGUCAGACCCCACUGUGGUGCAAUUUUCACUAUCACCACCAGAGGGCGGGGCUUCCUUCAGAUGCGGUUCCUCAUUGUAUUCAGGAGCUGGUUUCACUUGCUUGCUUUGUAGCCACAAGACAGGAUAUUGCUGGAGUACAGAAACGGGCUCUCAGUUUCUGAGUGAGGAGCUUCUGUAACAUCCAGAUGGAGACUAGAUUUGUUAGACUGGUGUGUUCCCGGGAACAAGGAUCGUUUUCUUUUGCGAACAUGCAUUCUGCCAUUCACUCAGUUCUUCUGAUCAUCUUAAUAUUCAGAGGAACCAAUGGUGACUCAGUGAACCAGACAGAAGGCCCAGUGACUGCCUCAGAGGGGGCUCUCAUGACCCUGAACUGCACUUACCAGACUACUGAUUUGGCUCCUUAUCUUUUCUGGUAUAUCCAGCAUCUCAAAAAAGCUCCUCAACUCCUCCUGAAGGGCUCGAUGUCAGACCAGAACCCAAAGAGUAAAGGUUUUCAGGCCACUCUUGAUAGGAGUGACAGCUCCUUCCACCUGCAGAAACGGGCAGUGCAAGCAUCAGACUCGGCUGUGUACCACUGUGCUCUGCGUAACACAGUGAGAGAGGGCUGCGGGGGAGCUGAACACAAACCCGGAGGGCAGAUGGGGCUCUGGCUGUGGGCAGCCCUGCAGGGGGGUUGUUGUUUCUGUCUUCAGUGUUUUAUGCUAGCUGUGUUGUUGUUUAUGUACUAAGUCACGUCUGACUCUUUUGUGACCCUAUGACUGUAGUGGGCUCUGCUGUCCAUGGGAUUUCCUGGGCAAGAAGACUGGAGUGGGUUGCCAUUUCUUUCUCUUGGGAAUUAUCCUGACCCAGGAAUGGUACCUGUGUCUCAUGUUUGGUAGGCAGAUUCUUUACCACUGAGCCACCGGAGAGGCCCCUGUUUUAUGCCAGAGACAUUUUCAAAGUACUUCCAGCUCUGAAGCUCAGUGCCAAGAAUCCUGCAAUUCUUGGAUUGGUCUACAGAGAGGAAUCUGGGAAGGACAGUGAAGAGAGGAAUCUAAAAGGCCUUCUCCAGAAAUGCCUGUUUUUAGCCCAGUCACGU